CGGGUGAGUAACACGUGGGUAACCUGCCCAUCACAAGGGGAUAACACUUGGAAACAGGUGCUAAUACCGUAUAACACUAUUUUCCGCAUGGAAGAAAGUUGAAAGGCGCUUUUGCGUCACUGAUGGAUGGACCCGCGGUGCAUUAGCUAGUUGGGGAGGUAACGGCUCACCAAGGCAACGAUGCAUAGCCGACCUGAGAGGGUGAUCGGCCACGCUGGGACUGACACACGGCCCAGACUCCUACGGGAGGCAGCACUACGGAAUCUUCGGCAAUGGACAAAAGUCUGACCGAGCAACGCCGCGUGAGUGAAGAAAGUUUUCGGAUCGUAAAACUCUGUUGUUAGAGAAGAACAAGGAUGAGAGUAAAAUGUUCAUCCCUUGACGGUAUCUAACCAGAAAGCCACGGCUAACUACGUGCCAGCAGCCGCGGUAAUACGUAGGUG
rnacentral:rRNA from 2 species